rnacentral:rRNA from 1 species
UACUCCUACGGGAGGCAGCAGUAGGGAAUCUUCGGCAAUGGACGAAAGUCUGACCGAGCAACGCCGCGUGAGUGAAGAAGGUUUUCGGAUCGUAAAACUCUGUUGUUAGAGAAGAACGUUGUGUAGAGUGGAAAAUUACACAAGUGACGGUAUCUAACCAGAAAGGGACGGCUAACUACGUGCCAGCAGCCGCGGUAAUA